rnacentral:misc_RNA from 1 species
AUUAUGUCGGGCGUGUGAUGGUGCGUUUCCAAUGAAAAUUGAGAAUCUAUUAGAGAGCAUGUUCUAACUUAUUUAUUUUUCUUCUGGCAUGUAAAUCUGCUCGAGUUCCCUACGAACUCCCCCUCUUUGCAUCUCGAGAAAGCCAUGAAGGCUCAAAAAUUCUUAUCGAGUCAAUCCGCCAAAAUGGGCAAAAUGUAGAAAGUCAAGUGUCGUAAAUAUUGAAGA